AUGGGAGCAGCAGAAAUGCAGUACAGGUUCUUUGGAGACGUCAUAACUUUCGACACCACUUAUAGGACAAAGCUAUACAACAUGCCUUUUGGACUAUUUGUUGGGGUGAACAAUCAUUUUCAGAGUAUAAUUCUUGCGGGUGUCUUGAUGAGGGGCGAACAAGAAGAGACUUUCGAGUGGGUGUCCUCGGAGUUCGUGCUGAUGAUGGGAGGACCUGCUCCAAGGACUAUUCUGACAGACGAAAACCACCCCAUGGAAUUGGCCAUAAAGAAGAUUUAUCCAGGCACCGUGCAUAGGUGGUGCAAUGGCAUGUCCUGA
rnacentral:rRNA from 1 species